CCGGAGCUUGCUCCACCGAAAGAAAAAGAGUGGCGAACGGGUGAGUAACACGUGGGUAACCUGCCCAUCAGAAGGGGAUAACACUUGGAAACAGGUGCUAAUACCGUAUAACACUAUUUUCCGCAUGGAAGAAAGUUGAAAGGCGCUUUUGCGUCACUGAUGGAUGGACCCGCGGUGCAUUAGCUAGUUGGUGAGGUAACGGCUCACCAAGGCAACGAUGCAUAGCCGACCUGAGAGGGUGAUCGGCCACACUGGGACUGAGACACGGCCCAGACUCCUACGGGAGGCAGCAGUAGGGAAUCUUCGGCAAUGGACGAAAGUCUGACCGAGCAACGCCGCGUGAGUGAAGAAGGUUUUCGGAUCGUAAAACUCUGUUGUUAGAGAAGAACAAGGAUGAGAGUAAAACGUUCAUCCCUUGACGGUAUCUAACCAGAAAGCCACGGCUAACUACGUGCCAGCAGCCGCGGUAAUACGUAGGUGGCAAGCGUUGUCCGGAUUUAUUGGGCGUAAAGCGAGCGCAGGCGGUUUCUUAAGUCUGAUGUGAAAGCCCCCGGCUCAACCGGGGAGGGUCAUUGGAAACUGGGAGACUUGAGUGCAGAAGAGGAGAGUGGAAUUCCAUGUGUAGCGGUGAAAUGCGUAGAUAUAUG
rnacentral:rRNA from 1 species